GACGAACGCUGGCGGCGUGCCUAAUACAUGCAAGUUGAGCGAUGAAGCUUGGUGCUUGCACCACUUUGAAGAGCAGCGAACGGGUGAGUAACGCGUGGGGAAUCUGCCUUUGAGCGGGGGACAACAUUUGGAAACGAAUGCUAAUACCGCAUAAUAACUUUAAACAUAAGUUUUAAGUUUGAAAGAUGCAAUUGCAUCACCCAAAGAUGAUCCCGCGUUGUAUUAGCUAGUUGGUGAGGUAAAGGCUCACCAAGGCGAUGAUACAUAGCCGACCUGAGAGGGUGAUCGGCCACAUUGGGACUGAGACACGGCCCAAACUCCUACGGGAGGCAGCAGUAGGGAAUCUUCGGCAAUGGACGAAAGUCUGAACGGGCAACGCCGCGGGAGUGAAGAAGGGUUUCGGAUCGUAAAACUCUGUUGGUAGAGAAGAACGUUGGUGAGAGGGGAAAGCUCAUCAAGUGACGGUAACUACCCAGAAAGGGACGGCUAACUACGUG
rnacentral:rRNA from 1 species